ACUGCGAAGAGACUUGCGCGUGGACAGACAUGGAUAUUGUGUUACUGGUCUGUGUUUUCACCAUCCUCCCAGGGGCUUUCCCGGCUCACCUUUCCAGAAAUGUCGCUCCGUCAGACAGACGAUCUCUUCGCCAGUCAACUGGAACAUCACUUCCAAGUCGGGGAGGUUCUUCCAACAGCCGAGUCCCCAUCAUUACCUCAGCGGAACUGCGUGCUAUCUACAGAGCGCGGAAAAUAAGAAGACAGCAGCAAUUACAAGAGCAACAGAGACGAAUCGCCCAAAUGUCAAAGAUACAAAACAAUGCCGCAACCCAACAAAACCUGUUAUCCCAGCUUCUUACACAGCAGCAGCAGCAGCAGCAACAAACACCCCUUCAGCAACACCCACAGCUCCAGCAACAAAGGGUGCAGCUAACGCAGCAAAGACACAAAUUGCCAACAACAACCCAGUGGUUAUAGAAACAAACGGAAGUAUUCAGCUUUCAGAAGUCAAAAAAGCAAAUGGACAAACACAUAUAGUGAUUGACGCCUCCAGUAUGGGACUAAAUCCGCUGGCCGCAACCCUAAAACCCGGCGAAGAUCCCCCGGAACCAGAAAUCAAGUUGCCUUUUGGUCACAGGAAGUGACGUUAAAAUUCGAGUCUAUGAGCUUUGCACAUAGAUUCUCAUUUUCGGUGUUUGUGGGGAAAAUGAGCGCAUAUCUCUGGCGAAUUUGUCACAGGGUUGAGUGGCGGACCUGUCUUCCCAUAUUUUACCGUACGUCAGCUCUGUGUCACCAUAUACUGAUUUUAAAAAAAAAAUCCUAAUUUGUCCAGAAAAUGAAGAAAACAAUUUUCCAAGUCAUUUGGACCCCAUAGCAGCCCAGUUCAAGUACAUUUUGAAAUUUUUCACCUUUUCUAAAAAAUCUAUUUGUUCCAACCAUUUGGUUUGUUGUUGAAUAAAUCUUGUUUUGACUUC
rnacentral:misc_RNA from 1 species